rnacentral:tRNA from 1 species
AGGUCAGCACUUUUGUCGAAAUGGACGCUGGUAGACCAAGAUUUUCUGACGACUCUUAAUCAGCGGGUCCUAGGUUCGAACCCUAGUGCGCCCACCA